CCUCUCGCGUUUUCUCUCUUGCUCCUGUUCGCAUUCCUAUUCAUUCACUUCUUCCUCAGCUCUCGCGGUCUCUCCUUUCGUUGAUGUUGUCCCAUCCCUCGCAUAGCUCUCCUCCCCGCUCUCAUGGCCCUCGAUUACACCCGUUGUUGCUCCGGAUUGCGAGCUCAAGUGUAGGGUUUGGGUUUUCAAUGUCCGCUUCCUCCAUGUUUUUUUUGUCCACAUCUUUGCCUUCUUCGGCGCCUGUAGCGGCGCCAGCGACCAAGAUUUGCUUCAACACUCAGUGGAAGGAGUUUACAGAGGAUCAUAUAACGCCUUGUAGGAGGGGCUAGUGCCUCGGCUCAGGAGCGAUAGCCGAGCUCUGCACCACUGCUCAUCUGCGUUUGAGCAAGGAAUCUUCUGCGAGAUGUUUCAUUCCAAUGAUUCUGGUUGGAGGAACUGUGAGACAGCAAGAGAGUGCAUUGUUGGUGUAUCACAUCAGCUCAGUCUUAUGGUUUUCUUGACACGGGGGGAAUUGAGUGCAUUCCAUGCCCUAGGAAAGCUCUAGCAACGGCACCAAAUCAAAUAUCAUCUUCUCUGAUGUUUGUGCAACAACAUGUGCCUGAAAGGAGAGAUUCACUUGCUAAAUCCUGGAGAUCAAUGGCUAAUCCAUUGUCUGGACAGUGGCGUCAAGUUUCGCAUAUGUGGAAUAUGACAAUGCAGUCUGAUUUGCAACAAAGAUUAUCACAUGAAUUUGAUAGACCUAGUAGAUUGAGAAAUUGGCACCUGGAGGUCUCCAUUCUAUUGCAACACACGAAAAGAAAUUUCAGCCAGAGAGAAAAUUUUCUACCGACCUUGACAAAUUUCUUACUUGAGAAAAUCAUCCUAUGUCUACAAGGAAAUCAUAAAGGAUCCGAUGAAGCUUUCGCUACUCCAUUAUCAAAGCAGUUUUACCCACAGUGUGUGAAUGAAACUGAACUGCAAUCUCAAAUGCGCAAUGGAGAACUCGAGUUGAUGUUUAUCCACAGACACAAUUGCUUCCACGAUAGUGGCCUAGGAUAACAAAUCAAGAGCUACAACAAAUAUCUGGCGAGUCUCCUAUUUUAUGUGUUUUGUCUACAAUCCUCCAUCACUCCCUUGUUUGAAAAGAUGUUAAGUGCUAGUGAUGCUGGGCAGAUUGGACGACUUGUGCUUCCAAAGAAAUGUCCAGAGCCUGAAGAACUUCCUGUAAAAGUUCAGAAUGCAAGUGGAAAAGAUUGAAUAUUCCAAUUCAAUUUUGGCCUAACAACAGUGGAUGUAUGUUUUGGAGGGCGUUACACCUUGUAUUCAGGCAAUGCAACUGCAAGCAGACACAGGAACUAAAGAAGCAAGUGUAUUUACUACUGACAUUGCUUUUGCUGAUCUCUUGCACAAAGAAAUUUUCCCCUCAUGUUGCUCACCUCAUUUCGGACGAUACAUGGUGUUUUAGAUUUCAGAUCCUUUUCCUGAAUUUCUUAUUUACGUCUCCAGUAGUAUAUACUUUGAGUUUCUUGGUUCUUUCCAUGUCUGAAAACACCCGCUGGGCCAGAACUUUUAGAUGUGUUUCGCCUGACAAUGAGAUAAUUGGAAUUGAUUUAGGAACCACAAAUUCUUGUAUUUCUAUUAUGGAAGGAAAGGUUAGUCCCUUUGUUACUAUUAUUUUUAGUUCAUCUGAAAAUUAAAUUAUUUAACAUGCUGUGCAGAAUGUUAAAAUUAUAGAAAAUUAAGAAAGAGCAUGUACUACCCCUUCAUUUAUAGCUUUCAGCCACAAUGGUGAAGUGCUUGUUGGAGCCCUAGCACAGCAUAUGUCACUCACAAAUCUUACGAACAUAAUUUUUGCAACCAAGUAACUGAUAAUCUGUCACAUCGAUGAUCCUCAAAUGCAGAAAGAAAUGAAUAUUGUUCCUUUUAAAACUGUCAAAGCACCUAACGGGGAUGCAUGGGUUGAAGCCCAUGGUCAACAAUUUUUUCCUAAAUUGGUGCAUUUAUUAAGAUGAAGGAAAUUGCUGAGUCCUACCUUGGAAAAUCCAUUUCGAAGGUAGUGAUUGCAAUUUCUGCAUAUUUCUACAAAGGAUGCCGGGAGGAUUGUUGAUCUUGAUGUGCAAACAAUUAUCAAUGAACCAACAACAAUAACACUUGCGUUUGUAGCUAGGAGGAUUGCUUGUUUUGACGUGCAAAUAAUUAUCAAUGAACACAAUAAUCAAACAUUCU